rnacentral:lncRNA from 1 species
UUCUUUCCUUCUUGGUGAUCUGAUUCAGAUCCCAUCGGAUCUAUGUGAAAGAGUUCACGCAGCGAUCUUCAUCUUCCAGAUCUAAAAGAAGAGAUGUUGAUCUAAGGCUAAAGAGCGAGAUCUGUAAGGUGCUAGUACACCGAUGAUCUCGAUGCUUCAAUCAGGUCUCUCUGUGUGGAUACCAACAAAGAUCAGAUAUGUGUGUGGCUA